GUCUAGGAACCACAGGCUGGCCCACACCUGGUGCCUGACUCUUUUCUUUCUCUUCUCAGGAGCAAGAGCAGCUCUACCUGCGGUCUGGUGUGGUUUCCUCUGCGACCUUUGAGCAGCCAGGUCGGCAGGUCAAGCUGUGGGUGAAGAUGGUGACCCCGCUGAUCAAGAACUUCUUUUGAGAACAGGAAUGGCCUUGAUGAAGAUGACGGGCAUGACUGGGGUCAGAUCCUUCAGCUUUGCUUCAGCAAUGACUCCGGUCUGGGUGUCCCAGCGAGCUCCUGUGGGGACAAUGGAGCUGAGGGUCUGGGUGCCCCAGGGGAGGCAGAACCCACUGUUUGGAGUGCUGACUGUGAAAAAGGGAGGCACGGUAGGGAGAGAGGCCUGGCCUCCAACCUCCCCACUCUUUUCAGAGACAGGCCAGUGACUGGGAGCCCUGAAGAGUUCAGGCCAGGUGCCAGGGCCUGAGAGUGCCAAACACAGAGGAGUGUGGACCGAGGACUCCGAAGUGACUCGCAUGCCGUAACGGUUCUGAGGCUGCAUCUUCUCAGAGCUUCAUCUCCGCCUUCUCAAUGUCAGUGGCAGAGAAAACUGACCGCAGCCUAAUUCCAGCAGUGUACCCUC
rnacentral:lncRNA from 1 species